AUAAAUGAUUUUAUUUUAAAAUUGUAUGCAAAUACAAAUUAUUUUAUCAAAAUUACAUAUAAUUAUGUCAUUAUUUAAUUAAGCCGGUGACAAUGCUUUUGAAACAGACACACAAUGAGCCCAUACUUCAUCUCUUUUCUGUAAAUAUUUGGAUUCGUUUCCAAUUAAACUAGGUCUAUCCGCGAUAUAUUUGACAAGGGUGUCAUGACACUCUUUUCCUUCUUGUACAAGCUCCUGGCAACAAGGAAUGGAUACAACUCCAUUACCAAAAACUUGAGAAAUGAUAUUGAGUGCACACUUUGGACUGAUUUUAACGACACAUUGAUCCCAUAACUUUUUGGGUUCAUUUUCUUCUACGGCUAAUGAAGGAAUACAUGAAUUCGCCACAACUAGAACAACAAAAGACACCAUAAUAAUGUUAAGCUUGGCCAUGGUUUUUUGGCUAUAUGGGGAGUUAAUGUUUGAUUUUUCUCAAUAUAGAAUAUGAAAAUAGCUUUUAAAUUUAUGAUCUGGUUUGAAUAAACGAUGAUAACCCUAUUUAUAUUAAUGAAUAAUCAAUAUUAAACAUUUAUUGUUGAGAAAUAACUUUGCUUGUGACGGUUUUUAGUUCAUUAAAAUUUGUAAGUUACAUUUUUCUUGAUGCAUGAAGUUAUUAAUUGUUUAGGAUAAUUAUUUAUAAAUAAUUAAAUUAGAAUUCUUGUAAUAUAGAAAUAAAGACAAAUAAAGAAUUUAUACAAGUAUUUAAAUUCCAACUAAUAAACUACUGAAUAUUGUUGUUGUCAGCAACAUAUAUUUUGGUGGUUGUAUAUCAACUUACUAACAAAAACCAAAAGUACAGUCUAACAUGUGAUAAGCCUAAUAAUUGAUUGUAAUAUUAACGUUUGAGUAUAUAUGAACAUAUAUCACUCUGGGGUUAAAAGAAAGAGUUUCAGAUUUUAUAUUUUCUUUAUUUCGUGAUGUAGGAUGCUUGUCAAUUUUUUAAUGUUUAAACAUAUAGAUAACAUACAUAUACUUUGGUUCAUCUUUCAAUCAUAAUCCAAAAUAUUUUUUAAUGAAUUGAUUAAAAAAACAUAUGCAAAUUUUUUGUAAACUCCAAAAUUUUAAAUGGAAAUCGUUGUGCGAUCAAUUGCAAGAGAUAUUUUAAAUGUAAUAAGUCUGUUGCGAUCUUAUGUUGUCGUGAAAGGCUAGAGUCUUGUGAUUACAAAUAAAAUGUGUGUUUUGAUAUUUUUCUGUUUAAGUUAAUUAAAAUUGUGAGUACAAAAAAUUUUGAAUACUUUUUUUUUUGGACUACACCUUUUUAUUUGGUAUUCAAAGUGAGAAUUGAAUGAAAUAUUGGUAAAGAAAACACGCAACACAAGACGAUAAGAAUUAAAUAUCUCGUGAAUAUAUAAAUGAUUUUAUUUUAAAAUUGUGUGCAAAUACAAAUUAUUUUAUCAAAAUUAAAUAUAAUUAUGUCAUUAUAUAAUUAAGCCGGUGACAACGCUUUUGAAACAGACACACAAUGAGUCCAUACUUCAUCUCUUUUCUGUAAAUAUUUGGAUUCGUUUCCAAUUAAACUAGGUCUAUCCGCGAUAUAUUUGACAAGGGUGUCAUGACACUCUUUUCCUUCUUGUACAAGCUCCUGGCAACAAGGAAUGGAUACAACUCCAUUACCAAAAAUUUGAGAAAUGAUAUUGAGCGCACACUUUGGACUGAUUUUAACAACACAUUGAUCCCAUAACUUUUUGGGUUCAUUUUCUUCUACGGCUAAUGAAGGAAUACAUGAAUUCGCCACAACUAGAACAACAAAAGACACCAUAAUAAUGUUAAGCUUGGCCAUGGUUUUUUGGCUAUAUGAGGAGUUAAUGUUUGAUUUUCCUCAAUAUAGAAUAAGAAAAUAGCU
rnacentral:lncRNA from 1 species